CCCUUAGAUGUCCUGGGCCGCACGCGCGUUACACUGAUGCAUUCAACGAGCUUAUACCUUGGCCGAGAGGCCUGGGCAAUCUUGUUAACGUGCAUCGUGAUAGGGAUAGAUUAUUGAAAUUAUUAAUCUUGAACGAGGAAUUCCUAGUAAACGCAGAUCAUCAAUCUGCAUUGAUUACGUCCCUGCCCUUUGUACACACCGCCCGUCGCACCUACCGAUUGGAUGGUCCGGUGAAGCCUCGGGAUUGUGGUUCUUGCCGCUUUAUUGUGGCGUGACCGCGAGAACUUGUCUAAACCUUAUCAUCUAGAGGAAGGUGAAGUCGUAACA
rnacentral:rRNA from 1 species